CCAGCAGCCGCGGUAAUUCCAGCUCCAAUAGCGUAUAUUUAAGUUGUUGCAGUUAAAAAGCUCGUAGUUGGAUUUCGGGUGGGUUCUAGCGGUCCGCCUUUGGUGAGUACUGCUAUGGCCUUCCUUUCUGCCGGGGACGGGCUCCUGGGCUUCACUGUCCGGGACUCGGAGUCGGCGAGGAUACUUUGAGUAAAUUGGAGUGUUCAAAGCAGGCCUACGCUCUGAACAUUUUAGCAUGGAAUAUCACGAUAGGACUCUGGCCUAUCUUGUUGGUCUGUAGGACCGGAGUAAUGAUUAAGAGGGACAGUCGGGGGCAUUCGUAUUUCAUUGUCAGAGGUGAAAUUCUUGGAUUUAUGAAAGACGAACUACUGCGAAAGCAUUUGCCAAGGAUGUUUUCAUUAAUCAAGAACGAAAGU
rnacentral:rRNA from 1 species